AGAUAAUAGAUACCCUGGUAGUCCACGCUGUAAACGAUGCUCACUAGGUCUUGGAGGGUAUCGACCCCCUCUUGGGCCGAAAGCUAACGCGUUAAGUGAGCCGCCUGGGGAGUACGACCGCAAGGUUAAAACUCAAAGGAAUUGACGGGGACCCGCACAAGCGGUGGAGCGUGUGGUUUAAUUCGAUACUAAGCGAAGAACCUUACCCAGGCUUGACAUCCCGAGAAAGCUCCUGAAAGGGAGCCGUGCCGCAAGGAACUCGGUGACAGGUGUUGCAUGGUUGUCGUCAGCUCGUGCCGUGAGGUGUCCCGUUCAGUCGGUAAACGAGCGCAACCCACAUUCUGUGUUACACGUCUCACAGAAAACUGCCUCAGUUAAUGGGGAGGAAGGUGUGGAUGACGUCAAAUCAGCAUGGCCCUUACGCCUGGGGCUACACACGCGCUACAAUGGGGAGUAACAAUGGGCUGCCAAGCCGCAAGGCGGAGCUAAUCCCAUCAAACCUCCCCCAGUUCGGAUUGGGGGCUGCAA
rnacentral:rRNA from 1 species